rnacentral:rRNA from 1 species
AGCGAACGUUUGCGGCGGGCUUAACACAUGCAAGUCGAACGAGAAUCCCUUCGGGGAGGAAAGUGGCGCACGGGUGCGUAACACGUGGAUAACCAACCCAUUGGUUUGGGACAACACCGGGAAACUGGUGCUAAUACCAGAUGUGUCGCAGCUGUCUUCAGGCGGUUGCGAGAAAGGCCCGCAAGGGUCGCCAACGGACGGGUCCGCGUCCCAUCAGCUAGUUGGUGAGGUAAUGGCUCACCAAGGCAAAGACGGGUAGCUGGUCUGAGAGGAUGAUCAGCCACACUGGAACUGAGACACGGUCCAGACUCCUACGGGAGGCAGCAGUGGGGAAUCUUGCGCAAUGGGCGAAAGCCUGACGCAGCGACGCCGCGUGGGUGACGAAGGCCUC